rnacentral:rRNA from 1 species
CACGUAGGGGGCAAGCGUUGUCCGGAUUUAUUGGGCGUAAUGAGUUCGUAGGCGGCUUAGUAAGUCGGGUGUGAAACCUCCAGGCUCAACCUGGAGACGCCACCCGAUACUGCUGUGGCUAGAGUCCGGUAGGGGAGCGUGGAAUUCCUGGUGUAGCGGUGAAAUGCGCAGAUAUCAGGAGGAACACCAGCGGCGAAGGCGGCGCUCUGGGCCGGUACUGACGCUGAGGAGCGAAAGCGUGGGGAGCAAACAGG